GUGUUGCCUGCAAGGGCGUAUGGUGGAUGCCUUGGCAGACAGGACCGAUGAAGGACGUUUGAGGCUGCGAUAUGCCUCGGGGAGCCGCCAACAGGGCUUUGAUCCGAGGAUUUCCGAAUGGGGGAACCCACCGGCCGUCAUGGGCCGGUACCGCCGUGUGCGGGGGGUACGCAGGGAAGUGAAACAUCUCAGUACCUGCAGGAAAGGAUAUUCCGUGAGUAGUGGCGAGCGAAAGCGGAUCAGGCCAAACCUUGCGCGUGUGAUACCCGUCGGGGGUUGCGCGCGGGGUGUAGAGGGAUCGCGUUUGCCGGCUCCGACGGGCCGGCCGUCAGUUGCAUAAAACCAUGUGCCAGGGGAACCGGGUUGAAUACCGGGCCGCAGAGGGUGAGGGCCCCGUACCCGAACGCGCAUGGUCUGGCGAUCGCGUCUCCCAAGUAGCACGGGCCCCGUGGAAUCCCGUGCGAAUCUGUCCCGACCGUGGGAUAAGCCUAAAUAUUCCUGUCUGACCGAUAGCGAACGAGUACCGUGAGGGAAAGGUGAAAAGUACCCCGGGAGGGGAGUGAAACAGUCUCUGAAACCAUGCGCCUACGAACCGUCGGGGCCCUCUUGUGGGGUGACGGCGUGCCUAUCGAAAAAUGAGUCUGCGAGUCAGUGGCAUGUGGCGAGCAUAACCCGUGUGGGGUAUGCGUAGCGAAGGCGAGUCUUAAAAGGCGUUUGAGUCGCGUGUCCUGGACCCGAAGCGGGAUGAUCUAGCCCUGAGCAGGUUGAAGCGCGGGUAAGACCGUGUGGAGGACCGAACCCACCUGGGUUGAAAACCGGGGGGAUGACUUGGGGCUAGGGGUGAAAGGCCAAUCAAAUUCCGUGAUAGCUGGUUCUCUCCGAAAUGCAUUUAGGUGCAGCGUCGGAUCGAUUACAUCCGGGGGGUAGAGCGACUGGAUGCUUGCGGGCCCAUAUCGGGUACCAACAGCAACCAAACUCCGAAUACCCGUGAUGCGUAUCCCGGCAGUGAGUCGGCGGGGGAUAAGCUCCGUCGUCGAAAGGGAAACAGCCCAGAUCGUCGUCUAAGGUCCCCAAGCGUGUGCUAAGUGGGAAAGGAUGUGGAGUCGCAUAGACAGCCAGGAGGUUGGCUCAGAAGCAGCCACCCUUGAAAGAGUGCGUAACAGCUCACUGGUCUAGUGGUUCCGCGCCGACAAUGUAGCGGGGCUCAAGCACACCACCGAAGACGCGGCAGUAGCUUUGCUACUGGGUAGGAGAGCGUCCCAUGCGGGGCGAAGCGGCGGCGCAAGCCCGCCGUGGACCGCAUGGGAGUGAGAAUGCAGACAUGAGUAGCGAAAGACGGGUGAAGAUCCCGUCCGCUGGACGACCAAGGGUUCCAGGGCCACGUUCAUCGUCCCUGGGUGAGUCGGGUCCUAAGGCGAGGCCGACAGGCGUAGUCGAAUGGACGAACGGGUCGAUAUUCCCGUACCGGCAUGCAACCGGCAAAACCGAAUCCGCGAGUACUAACUUCCGGGUCCGGGCUUACGUCUCCUUCGGGAGCCGGAUGCCCUGGCCUGUUGGGACCGUAACGGUAGUAGGUCAGCGCGGGAGUGACGCAGAAGGGUAGCCGGCCGCGGAGGUGGUCUUCCGUGGUCAAGCACGCAGCCCGUCCCACAGGCAAAUCCGUGGGGCGCGUGGGCGAGGUGCGAUGAUGGGCGCCGCAGGGCGCGAUAUCCGGUGAUCCCGGCUGCCGAGAAAAGCUUCGGCGUGAGGCGGCAUGCCGCCCGUACCCCAAACCGACACUGGUGGUCAGGUAGAGAAUACCAAAGCGAUCGAGCGAAUCCUGGUCAAGGAACUCGGCAAAUCACUCCCGUUCCUUCGGUUUAAGGGAGACCCCCGAUGGUGAAGCGGCUUGCCCGCGGAGCUUUUGGGGGUGGCACAGACCAGGGGGUAGCGACUGUUUACCAAAAACACAGGAGCGUGCGAAGGCGCAAGCCGCUGUAUACGCUCUGACGCCUGCCCGGUGCCGGAAGGUUAAGAGGAUCCGUCAGGCCUCGGCCGAAGCGGUGAAUUCAAGCCCCGGUAAACGGCGGUGGUAACUAUAACCAUCCUAAGGUAGCGAAAUUCCUUGUCGGGUAAGUUCCGACCUGCACGAAUGGCGUAACGACUUCCCCACUGUCUCGACCAGGAGCUCGGCGAAAUUGCAGUACGAGUAAAGAUGCUCGUUAAGCGCAGAAGGACGAAAAGACCCCGGGACCUUUACUAUACCUUGGUAUUGGCAUUCGGUGUGGAUUGUGUAGCAUAGGCGGAAGGCUUCGAAGCCACGGCGCCAGCCGCGGUGGAGCCGCAAGGUGAAAUACCGCUCUGUUCGCAUUGGAUGUCUAACCUCGACCAGUCAUCCUGGUCAGGGACAGUGCCUGGCGGGUAGUUUAACUGGGGCGGUUGCCUCCCAAAGAGUAACGGAGGCGCUCAAAGGUUCCCUCAGCCCGGUUGGUAAUCGGGUGGCGAGUGUAAGUGCACAAGGGAGCUUGACUGCGAGACUGACGGGUCGAGCAGGGACGAAAGUCGGAACUAGUGAUCCGGUGCCGGUGUACGGACGCGGCAUCGCUCAACGGAUAAAAGGUACCCCGGGGAUAACAGGCUGAUCAUUCCCAAGAGUCCAUAUCGACGGGAUGGUUUGGCACCUCGAUGUCGGCUCGUCGCAUCCUGGGGCUGGAGCAGGUCCCAAGGGUUCGGCUGUUCGCCGAUUAAAGCGGCACGCGAGCUGGGUUCAGAACGUCGUGAGACAGUUUGGUCUCUAUCCUCUGCGCUCGUCGGAAUGUUGAGGAGGCCUGCCCAUAGUACGAGAGGACCUGGGUGGACGAACCUCUGGUAUGCCGGUUGUCACGCCAGUGGCACGGCCGGUUGGCUACGUUCGGAAGGGAUAACCGCUGAAAGCAUCUAAGCGGGAAGCCUGCUCCAAGAUAAGCAUUCCAUAGGACUACGGGUCCUUGAAGUCCCCAUGCAGAACACGUGGUUGAUAGGCCGGACGUGGAAGCCCCGCGAGGGGUGGAGCCGACCGGUACUAACGGACGAAAGGCAACAC
rnacentral:rRNA from 1 species